rfam:Schistosoma curassoni strain Dakar, Senegal genome assembly, scaffold: SCTD_scaffold0003105
AGGCCCCUGUAUUGAUGCUGAGAUUUCGUCACACACUAGACCACAAGGGCUGAUGAGACUUCCAAGAUAAGUGAAGCA